UACGUAGGGUGCAAGCGUUGUCCGGAAUUAUUGGGCGUAAAGAGCUCGUAGGCGGUUUGUCGCGUCUGCUGUGAAAACCCGAGGCUCAACCUCGGGCCUGCAGUGGGUACGGGCAGAUUAGAGUGCGGUAGGGGAGAUUGGAAUUCCUGGUGUAGCGGUGGAAUGCGCAGAUAUCAGGAGGAACACCGAUGGCGAAGGCAGAUCUCUGGGCCGUAACUGACGCUGAGGAGCGAAAGCAUGGGGAGCGAACAGG
rnacentral:rRNA from 1 species